AACAACAAUUGACUCCGAGUUUGUCUUCCUACCGGUAUGUAUACCCAAGGGGGCAAACCGACAGGGUAACACGGGAAACGGUGUUGCCUCCCGAUAGUGGAAAGGAGAUGAUCCGAAAGUAUA
rnacentral:ncRNA from 2 species